rnacentral:rRNA from 1 species
GAGAACGCUGCCGUAUACUGGGGGAUAACACUUAGAAAUAGGUGCUAAUACCGCAUAAGCGCACAGCUUCGCAUGAAGCAGUGUGAAAAACUCCGGUGGUAUACGAUGGAUCCGCGUCUGAUUAGCUAGUUGGCGGGGUAAAGGCCCACCAAGGCGACGAUCAGUAGCCGGCCUGAGAGGGUGAACGGCCACAUUGGGACUGAGACACGGCCCAAACUCCUACGGGAGGCAGCAGUGGGGAAUAUUGCACAAUGGGGGAAACCCUGAUGCAGCGACGCCGCGUGAGUGAAGAAGUAUUUCGGUACGUAAAGCUCUAUCAGCAGGGAAGAAAAUGACGGUACCUGACUAAGAAGCCCCGGCUAACUACGUGCCAGCAGCCGCGGUAAUACGUAGGGGGCAAGCGUUAUCCGGAUUUACUGGGUGUAAAGGGAGCGUAGACGGCAGCGCAAGUCUGGAGUGAAAUCCCAUGGCUUAACCAUGGAGCUGCUUUGGAAACUGUGCAGCUAGAGUGCAGGAGAGGUAAGCGGAAUUCCUAGUGUAGCGGUGAAAUGCGUAGAUAUUAGGAGGAACACCAGUGGCGGAAGCGGCUUACUGGACUGUAACUGA